rnacentral:lncRNA from 1 species
CAUAAAGCUAGGAGGGGUAGAUACAAAGGGCUCCAGAACCUGAGCAGCACAGCUCUUUCCAAUGCACUGCUGAUUAAGGCAGCUAUAAGAGUGAGGGUUUUGGGCCUUGUAGGUUUUCUCUGGUUUGCAAGCAGAGGGGUUACUAUAGUCCUUGUGUGAGGCAUUUAGUGCUAUCAAGUGGCAGUGAACCAGGGCUUUGAGAAAGAAGAAACAGAAGAUGAUGGCAAAUUAACAAAGCAGGGGAGGAGUAUUUCUAGACCAAAGAAGGCUGAACUAGGUUUGAAAGGGCAAUGAUGAGAAUCCACAGGCUCCUUCCAGUUGCUGCCGUAGAUGACAGCUGAUCGUCCCAAGAGGCAACAGUGGUUGGUAGGGUUUGGGCAAAGCUACUAUGCCUUCAGACAGCCUGUGGAGAGCAGCUCUGGACAUUUGCUGCUGGGAGACCUGGUCUGGCAGAUCUUUUGGCAUCCAAGUGUUGCUCUUUGCUUUCACUUCCCACUAGUUUCCUUCUGUU